AUUGAACGCUGGCGGCAUGCCUUACACAUGCAAGUCGAACGGCAGCACGGGUGCUUGCACCUGGUGGCGAGUGGGGAACGGGUGAGUAAUACAUCGGAACAUGUCCUGUAGUGGGGGAUAGCCCGGCGAAAGCCGGAUUAAUACCGCAUACGAUCUACGGAUGAAAGCGGGGGACCUUCGGGCCUCGCGCUAUAGGGUUGGCCGAUGGCUGAUUAGCUAGUUGGUGGGGUAAGGGCCUACGAAGGCGACGAUCAGUAGCUGGUCUGAGAGGACGACCAGCCACACUGGGACUGAGACACGGCCCAGACUCCUACGGGAGGCAGCAGUGGGGAAUUUUGGACAAUGGGCGAAAGCCUGAUCCAGCAAUGCCGCGUGUGUGAAGAAGGCCUUCGGGUUGUAAAGCACUUUUGUCCGGAAAGAAAUCCUUGGCCCUAAUACGGUCGGGGGAUGACGGUACCGGAAGAAUAAGCACCGGCUAACUACGUG
rnacentral:rRNA from 1 species